rnacentral:rRNA from 2 species
UGGAUCCAGACUUUGAUUCUGGCUCAGGACGAACGCUGGCGGCGUGCCUAAUACAUGCAAGUCGAACGAAGCUUUCUUUCACCGAAUGCUUGCAUUCACCGAAAGAAGCUUAGUGGCGAACGGGUGAGUAACACGUAGGCAACCUGCCCAAAAGAGGGGGAUAACACUUGGAAACAGGUGCUAAUACCGCAUAACCAUGAACACCGCAUGAUGUUCAUGUAAAAGACGGCUUUUGCUGUCACUUUUGGAUGGGCCUGCGGCGUAUUAACCUGUUGGUGGGGUAACGGCCUACCAAGGUGAUGAUACGUAGCCGAACUGAGAGGUUGAUCGGCCACAUUGGGACUGAGACACGGCCCAAACUCCUACGGGAGGCAGCAGUAGGGAAUCUUCCACAAUGGACGAAAGUCUGAUGGAGCAACGCCGCGUGAAUGAAGAAGGCCUUCGGGUCGUAAAAUUCUGUUGUCAGAGAAGAACGUGCGUGAGAGUAACUGUUCACGUAUUGACGGUAUCUGACCGGAAAGCCACGGCUAACUACGUGCCAGCAGCCGCGGUAAUACGUAGGUGGCAAGCGUUGUCCGGAUUUAUUGGGCGUAAAGGGAACGCAGGCGGUCUUUUAAGUCUGAUGUGAAAGCCUUCGGCUUAACCGAAGUAGUGCAUUGGAAACUGGAAGACUUGAGUGCAGAAGAGGAGAGUGGAACUCCAUGUGUAGCGGUGAAAUGCGUAGAUAUAUGGAAGAACACCAGUGGCGAAAGCGGCUCUCUGGUCUGUAACUGACGCUGAGGUUCGAAAGCGUGGGUAGCAAACAGGAUUAGAUACCCUGGUAGUCCACGCCGUAAACGAUGAGUGCUAAGUGUUGGAGGGUUUCCGCCCUUCAGUGCUGCAGCUAACGCAUUGAGCACUCCGCCUGGGGAGUACGGUCGCAAGACUGCAACUCAAAUGAAUUGACGGA